AGCAGCCGCGGUAAUUCCAGCUCCAAUAGCGUAUAUUAAAGUUGUUGCAGUUAAAAAGCUCGUAGUUGAAUUUCGGGAUCAAUUGAUUGGUCAUGCCUACGGUAUGUACUAGUCAUAUUGGUUCUCACCUUCUAAUGAACCUUAAUGUCAUUCACUUGAUGUUUUGGGGAAUUAGGACUGUUACCUUGAAAAAUUAGAGUGUUUAAAGCAGGCUUACGCUUGAAUACAUUAGCAUGGAAUAAUGAAAUAGGACAUCGCAUUCUAUUUUGUUGGUUUCUAGGAUCGAUGUAAUGAUUAAUAGGGAUAGUUGGGGGCAUUAGUAUUCAAUUGUCAGAGGUGAAAUUCUUGGAUUUAUUGAAGACUAACUACUGCGAAAGCAUUUGCCAAGGAUGUUUUCAUUAAUCAAGAACGAAAGUUAGGGGAUCGAAGACGAUCAGAUACCGUCGUAGUCUUAACCAUAAACUAUGCCGAC
rnacentral:sRNA from 1 species